rnacentral:rRNA from 1 species
CCUACGGGUGGCUGCAGUGGGGAAUAUUGGACAAUGGGGGGAACCCUGAUCCAGCCAUGCCGCGUGUGUGAAGAAGGCCCUCGGGUUGUAAAGCACUUUCAGUGAGGAAGAACGCCUGGUGGUUAAUACCCAUCAGGAAAGACAUCACUCACAGAAGAAGCACCGGCUAACUCCGUGCCAGCAGCCGCGGUAAUACGGAGGGUGCGAGCGUUAAUCGGAAUUACUGGGCGUAAAGCGCGCGUAGGUGGCUUGAUAAGCCGGUUGUGAAAGCCCCGGGCUCAACCUGGGAACGGCAUCCGGAACUGUCAAGCUAGAGUGCAGGCGAGGAAGGUAGAAUUCCCGGUGUAGCGGUGAAAUGCGUAGAGAUCGGGAGGAAUACCAGUGGCGAAGGCGGCCUUCUGGACUGACACUGACACUGAGGUGCGAAAGCGUGGGUAGCAAACAGGAUUAGAUACCCGUGUAGUC